GACGUAGGAUGCAAGCGUUGUCCGGAAUCAUUGGGCGUAAAGCGUUCGUAGGCGGCAUGUCAAGUCUGAUGUUAAAGCCCGGAGCUCAACUCCGGUUCGGCAUUGGAUACUGGCAAGCUAGAGUGCAAUAGAGGUAGGGGGAAUUCCUAGUGUAGCGGUGAAAUGCGUAGAUAUUAGGAGGAACACCGGUGGCGAAAGCGCCCUACUGGGUUGUAACUGACGCUGAGGAACGAAAGCCAGGGUAGCAAAUGGGAUUAGAUACCCCAGUAGUCCUGGCCGUAAACGAUGGAUACUAGGUGUUGCGGGUAUCGACCCCCGUAGUGCCGUAGUUAACGCGAUAAGUAUCCCGCCUGGGGAGUACGCACGCAAGUGUGAAACUCAAAGGAAUUGACGGGGACCCGCACAAGCGGUGGAACAUGUGGUUUAAUUCGAAGCAACGCGAAGAACCUUACCAGGGCUUGACAUCUAACAAACCUCUGCGAAAGUAGAGGGUGCUCUUCGGAGAAUGUUAAGACAGGUGGUGCACGGUUGUCGUCAGCUCGUGUCGUGAGAUGUUGGGUUAAGUCCCGCAACGAGCGCAACCCUUGUUGUUAGUUGCUUACAGUGGUACACUACUGUAUAGCUCUCUAGCAAGACUGCCGGUGAUAAACCGGAGGAAGGUGAGGACGACGUCAAAUCAUCAUGCCCCUUAUGCUCUGGGCUACACACGUGUUACAAUGGGUAGGACAACGAGCAGCCAAUCAGCGAUGAUGAGCAAAUCUCUUAAACUUAUCCUCAGUUCGGAUCGUAGUCUGCAACUCGACUACGUGAAGUCGGAAUCGCUAGUAAACGCAGAUCAGCACGCUGCGUUGAAUACGUUCCCGGGUCU
rnacentral:rRNA from 1 species